rnacentral:rRNA from 1 species
UACAGAGGUCUCAAGCGUUGUUCGGAUUCAUUGGGCGUAAAGGGUGCGUAGGUGGCGCGCUAAGUCAGGUGUGAAAUUUCGGAGCUUAACUCCGAAACUGCAUUUGAUACUGGCGUGCUUGAGGACUGGAGAGGAGACUGGAAUUCAUGGUGUAGCAGUGAAAUGCGUAGAGAUCAUGAGGAAGACCAGUGGCGAAGGCGGGUCUCUGGACAGUUCCUGACACUGGAGGCACGAAGGCCAGGGGAGCAAAACGGG